CCUACGGGAGGCUGCAGUGGGGAAUAUUGGACAAUGGGCGAAAGCCUGAUCCGGCCAUGCCGCGUGUGUGAAGAAGGCCUUCGGGUUGUAAAGCACUUUCAGUGGGGAAGAAAGCCUUGGGGCUAAUACCCUCGAGGAAGGACAUCACCCACAGAAGAAGCACCGGCUAACUCCGUGCCAGCAGCCGCGGUAAUACGGAGGGUGCGAGCGUUAAUCGGAAUUACUGGGCGUAAAGCGCGCGUAGGCGGUCUGAUAAGCCGGUUGUGAAAGCCCCGGGCUCAACCUGGGAACGGCAUCCGGAACUGUCAGGCUAGAGUGCAGGAGAGGAAGGUAGAAUUCCCGGUGUAGCGGUGAAAUGCGUAGAGAUCGGGAGGAAUACCAGUGGCGAAGGCGGCCUUCUGGACUGACACUGACGCUGAGGUGCGAAAGCGUGGGUAGCAAACAGGAUUAGAUACCCCUGUAGUC
rnacentral:rRNA from 1 species